UGUUAAUAAGAAUUUGUUCUUGACUAGUUGAAUAAAGGUUAAAUAGUAGAGAUAUGUCCCCCUUUGGCAUAUGGAUGGUGUGUAUGUGUUUACACUUGAUCCCAGACCAGCCACAUGUUGAUUAUCUUACAGUAGCUUUGUGGUUUUCAGACUCACACACCUUGAUGCCAGCGUUGCUCAGAAUGAGAGUGUCUGAAGAUCACAACGACAAGGAAGAGAGGGAGAGUAAGAUUAAGAGAGAAAGAGAGAGGAAAAGAAGGGGUAUGAUUCCAGUAAGGGAUUAAAGACUAGAGGCGUGGAGAUGGAGAGAUGAAAGGAGGUUAUCUCUCUCCCUCUCUUUCCCGGGAGUGCAUUGAUCCGUUAGUGUUUAGCAGCCUGGGGUGAGUGGGUUUGUUGGCCCUGGGCCAAGUAGAAGUGCUGAUGUCAGGGCUCCUAUCCCCAGCCCCGGUGUGAAGGUGCAUACACUGCAACUGGAACAGGGAGAAACACAGUCGAGGUGGACAUCCAAGUUCAUUGUUAGACCUACUUGUUAUUGGUGGCUUGGCUGCAUUGUAGUCUUGACUAGCGUAGUUGAAUGCACUUAUUGUCACAUUUAUAAGUCACUCUGGAUAAUAGCAUCUGCUGAAUAACUUAAAUGGCAAUGUGGAAAUUAAGUUAAUAUGGCUUCACAAUAAAAUCUCUCUGACAGCUGAAGGUUGAACUCAACUGAACUGUAGUCUUCACCACAGUGGACUGAGUUUGCCCUCUAGUGAAUUGAUCUACUACUACAUCACACAGCUUUUACAUGGACAGAAAAAAACAUAUGUACACUGAUGGGCUCCCCAAUGGUGACUAUCGAGACGUGGUGUGUAGCUGUAGCACAAUUUUGGGGACCUUAUUUGCCAUUUUCUGCCAUUUUUUGAGACUUGGUUCGAUCCAACCCCGGGACAAUACAUGAGUAUUUACAAUACUUGUUACACUGUACUUUGAUUUUAAAACAUUUACAAAAGAGAGUUUAUUCCCUCAGAAGUUGGUACACUGUACUUAAAACAAUAAUUACACUACAACUUGU
rnacentral:lncRNA from 13 species